ACCCGCACAAGCGGUGGAUGAUGUGGAUUAAUUCGAUGCAACGCGAAAAACCUUACCUACCCUUGACAUGUCUGGAACCUUGGUGAGAGCCGAGGGUGCCUUCGGGAGCCAGAACACAGGUGCUGCAUGGCUGUCGUCAGCUCGUGUCGUGAGAUGUUGGGUUAAGUCCCGCAACGAGCGCAACCCUUGUCACUAGUUGCCAUCAUUUGGUUGGGCACUCUAGUGAGACUGCCGGUGACAAACCGGAGGAAGGUGGGGAUGACGUCAAGUCCUCAUGCCCCUUAUGUCCAGGGCUUCACGCAUGCUACAAUGGCUGGUACAAAGGGCUGCAAUACCGCAAGGUGGAGCGAAUCCCAUAAAGCCAGUCUCAGUUCGGAUUGGGGUCUGCAACUCGACCCCAUGAAGUCGGAGUCGCUAGUAAUCGCAGAUCAGCAACGCUGCGGUGAAUACGUUCCCGGGCCUU
rnacentral:rRNA from 1 species